CAUACCGAAAGGUAUGCUAAUACGAGAUAAUAUGUAAUGAUCGCAUGGUCGAUACAUCAAAGCUCCGGCGGUACAGGAUGGACCCGCGUCGGAUUAGCUAGUUGGUGAGGUAAUGGCUCACCAAGGCGACGAUCAGUAGCCGACCUGAGAGGGUGAUCGGCCACAUUGGAACUGAGACACGGUCCAAACUCCUACGGGAGGCAGCAGUGGGGAAUAUUGCACAAGGGGCGAAAGCCUGAUGCAGCAACGCCGCGUCAUACGUCCUACGGGAGAAAGCAGGGGACCUUCAGGCCUUGCGCUAUCAGAUGAGCCUAGGUCGCAUUAGCUAGUUGGUGAGGUAAUGGCUCACCAAGGCGACGAUCCGUAACUGGUCUGAGAGGAUGAUCAGUCACACUGGAACUGAGACACGGUCCAGACUCCUACGGGAGGCAGCAGUGGGGAAUAUUGGACAAUGGGCGAAAGCCUGAUCCAGCCAUGCCGCGUGUGUAAAGAAGGUCUUCGGAUUGUAAA
rnacentral:rRNA from 1 species